rnacentral:lncRNA from 1 species
GACAAUUUCCCUCAUUUUCAUCCUUUGCAUGAGAAACAUCACUCUGGCUAAACCCACAUUCGUCGACGGAUGUCGGAUAUCUGUUGAAGGCCAAACAGAUAUUCCACAUCCAUUUUGGCCUUCAUGGGCUCUAUUCAGGCGAAAAACAAACAACUCAAUAUACAGAGAAUGAACAACAAAAACAUAACACAGAUUCAAACAAUAAUACACCCUAACAUGCAAACAAAGCUAGAAACCUAGAAAAGAGUAGUCAAGAAAACCAUCCUAGGAUGGAGACAAAAACAAGCCGCAACGAAACCAGGAUCUGUGCUCCUCCACGCCACGAAUCAACAGCUCCACACCAUGAAUCAACAACAACAAUUGAAACCCAAAAGGUGGAACAAUCAACGAAAAAGAAAGAAAUGGAAGGAAGAAUAGAGGAACUCAAACGGAAAUAGGGAAGAGGAGAGAAUAUGUGAGAUGAGAUAUGGGGGUGGGGGUGUAGCUGUUGUGCUUAGUGAAUAUGAAAGAGGUAAAAUUAGGGUUUGGGAAAUAAAUUAAAAAUUUGUGAUAAAAGUAAAAAAGUUUUAACCUUUAACCUAAGGAUAAUUUUGGAAAUAAAUGAAUUUGAGGAGGUGCAGGGAGCAUACCAUGGUGAUGGAGGGAGCAACGUUUUGUGAGCUUUUGUAAUAAAAGAUUUUUUUGGUCCUAUAGAUUUUUUUUUGCCUUAACCCAUAUGGACUAGAGCCAAGUCUUAUAAGAUGGAUUAAUUUGACAAGUCUAGCAGAAUGUAUUAAGGAGAUAUUGUUUUUAUUUUUUUUAUUU